AACUCUCAAAAAUAGAUCACUUGGCUCACGGGUCGACGAAGAAUACAGCCAGCUGUGAGACAUGGUGUGAACUGCAGGAGACAUUCAGCACUGAUUUUUCGAACGCGCAUUGCGGUGUGGAGUGAUACCGGGACCUGGGCUACCUGAGGAUCA
rnacentral:rRNA from 1 species